AGAAUCAACGCUGGCGGCGUGCCUAACACAUGCAAGUCGAACGAGAAAGUGGAGCAAUCCAUGAGUAAAGUGGCGCACGGGUGAGUAACACGUGACUAACCUACCCUUGAGUGGGGAAUAACUUCGGGAAACCGAGGCUAAUACCGCAUAAUACCUACGGGUCAAAGGAGCAAUUCGCUUAAGGAGGGGGUCGCGGCAGAUUAGUUAGUUGGCGGGGUAAUGGCCCACCAAGACGAUGAUCGGUA
rnacentral:rRNA from 1 species